AGAUUAAGUUAUUAAGGGCGCACGGUGGAUGCCUUGGCACUAGAAGCCGAUGAAGGACGUUACUAACGACGAUAUGCUUUGGGGAGCUGUAAGUAAGCUGUGAUCCAGAGAUUUCCGAAUGGGGGAACCCAGCACGAGUUAUGUCGUGUUAUCCGCAUGUGAAUACAUAGCAUGUGAGAAGGUAGACCCGGAGAACUGAAACAUCUUAGUACCCGGAGGAAGAGAAAGAAAAAUCGAUUCCCUGAGUAGCGGCGAGCGAAACGGGAAGAGCCCAAACCAACAAGCUUGCUUGUUGGGGUUGUAGGACACUCUGUACGGAGUUACAAAGGAAUAUGUUAGACGAAUAACCUGGAAAGGUUAAUCAUAGAAGGUAAUAAUCCUGUAGUCGAAAACGUAUACCCUCCUGAGUGGAUCCUGAGUACGGCGGAGCACGUGAAAUUCCGUCGGAAUCUGGGAGGACCAUCUCCCAAGGCUAAAUACUCUCUAGUGACCGAUAGUGAACCAGUACCGUGAGGGAAAGGUGAAAAGUACCCCGGAAGGGGAGUGAAAGAGAACUUGAAACCGUGUGCUUACAAGUAGUCAGAGCCCGUUAAUGGGUGAUGGCGUGCCUUUUGUAGAAUGAACCGGCGAGUUACGAUCUGAUGCAAGGUUAAGCAGAAAAUGUGGAGCCGUAGCGAAAGCGAGUCUGAAUAGGGCGAAUGAGUAUUUGGUCGUAGACCCGAAACCAGGUGAUCUACCCUUGGUCAGGUUGAAGUUCAGGUAACACUGAAUGGAGGACCGAACCGACUUACGUUGAAAAGUGAGCGGAUGAACUGAGGGUAGCGGAGAAAUUCCAAUCGAACUUGGAGAUAGCUGGUUCUCUCCGAAAUAGCUUUAGGGCUAGCCUCAAGUGAUGAUUAUUGGAGGUAGAGCACUGUUUGGACGAGGGGCCCCUCUCGGGUUACCGAAUUCAGACAAAC
rnacentral:rRNA from 1 species